rnacentral:rRNA from 1 species
GACGUAGGUGGCGAACGUUAUCCGGAAUUAUUGGGCGUAAAGGAUGCGUAGAUGGUGUAGUAAGUUAUCGGUGGCAAAUCGGGGCUCAACCUCGUGGAAGUCGGUAAUACUGCUAUGCUAGAGGAUAGGAGAGGUUAACGGAACUCCCUGUGGAGCGGUGAAAUGCGUAGAUAUAGGGAAGAACACCAAUCAGGCGAAGGCAGUUAACUAUUCUAUUCCUGACAUUGAGGCAUGAAAGCGUGGGGAGCAAAACGG